UUGAUCUCAAAUCAGGUGGGACUACCCGCUGAACUUAAGCAUAUCAAUAAGCGGAGGAAAAGAAACUAACAAGGAUUCCCCUAGUAACUGCGAGUGAAGCGGGAAGAGCUCAAAUUUAAAAUCUGGCGUGCCUCUGGCCGUCCGAGUUGUAGUCUGGAGAAGUGUUUUCCGUGUUGGACCGUGUACAAGUCUCUUGGAACAGGGCGUCAUAGAGGGUGAGAAUCCCGUCUUUGACACGGACUACCAAUGCUUUGUGAUGCGCUCUCAAAGAGUCGAGUUGUUUGGGAAUGCAGCUC
rnacentral:rRNA from 1 species